GGGGAUGUAACUCAUAUGGUAGAGCGCUUGCUUCGCAUGCGAGAGGUACAAGGAUUGAUACCCUGCAUUUUCA
rnacentral:tRNA from 1 species